rnacentral:rRNA from 1 species
AACGAACGCUGGCGGCGUGCCUAACACAUGCAAGUCGAACGGAAUUAGAGAGCUUGCUCUUUGAUUUAGUGGCGCACGGGUGAGUAACGCGUAGAUAAUCUGCCUGACGAUCUGGGAUAACACUUCGAAAGAGGUGCUAAUACCGGAUAAGCCCACGGGUUCUUUGGAAUCUGCGGGAAAAGGGGGGGACCUUCGGGCCUUCUGUCGUCAGAUGAGUCUGCGUACCAUUAGCUAGUUGGUAGGGUAAAGGCCUACCAAGGCGACGAUGGUUAGCUGGUCUGAGAGGAUGAUCAGCCACAAUGGAACUGAGACACGGUCCAGACUGCUACGGGAGGCAGCAGUGGGGAAUUUUGCGCAAUGGGCGAAAGCCUGACGCAGCAACGCCGCGUGAGUGAUGAAGGCUUUCGGGUCGUAAAGCUCUGUCAAUGGGAAAGAAGUGUAUUUUGGCUAAUAUCCUUAAUACUUGACGGUACCCAUAAAGGAAGCACCGGCUAACUCCGUGCCAGCCGCCGCGGUAAGAC